rnacentral:rRNA from 1 species
UGCGCAGGCGGGCCUGUAAGUCAGUGGUGAAAUCUUGCCGCUUAACGGUAAAAUUGCCAUUGAUACUGCAAGUCUUGAAUAUGGUUGAGGUAGGCGGAAUGUGUUGUGUAGCGGUGAAAUGCAUAGAUAUGACACAGAACACCGAUUGCGAAGGCAGCUUACUAAGCCAUUAUUGACGCUGAGGCACGAAAGCGUGGGGAGCGAACAGGAUUAGAUACCCUGGUAGUCC